rnacentral:snoRNA from 1 species
CCCCUCUCAGGCUAGCACCUGGAGAGUUUCCAGUACUCUACCAGUCUUGUUUAUGGGAGGGAGAGUCAAGCAGAGGCCUCCCCAUUCCAUUCCUAGCUUAGGCAGUGGCUAGUGAGUGGAAGGCCAUCUGCUACCAAU